rnacentral:rRNA from 1 species
GCCAGAGUACGAUUAACCUCUGGAUUUGAAAUCACUACUUAUAUACCUGGUAUUGGCCAUAAUUUACAAUAACAUUUUGUAGUAUUAGUAACAGGGAGCAGGGUUAAGGAUUUUCCCGGUGUGAGAUAUCGCAUUAUCCGAGGAACCCUAGAUGAUAUGCUUUAUUACAGUUCUAAAUUUAUGUUUUAUAAUAAAUGA